CAUGCUUGCAUCUUUCACCUUUCUGCUUCUGUCUUCAAACUGAAGCACAUGUGACAUCCUACAAAAAAAACCAAACUCCAACUCAGUGAAAGAAUGGAAGCUACAAUUUGUAAUUACAAUAUGCAUGGAAAAGUGGUGCAUGUGAACUGCAGGAGGUUCAACAAGGCCAAGUACUAGACCUUACACCUGGGCAACUGCUGAUAACAACACACAGUGGAAGAAGAAGGGAUUGAAGCAGCUCUGCCAAGAGGAACUUACAGGUGCUGGUGGCUGAGAGGCUGGACAUGACCCAGCCAUGGGCACUCCCAGCCCAGAGAGCCACACGUGUGCUGGGCUGCAUCCAGAGCAGGGUGGGCAGCAGGGCAGGGAGGGGAUUCUGCCCCUCUGCUCUGCUCUGCUCAGACCCCACCUGCAGGGCUGCAGCAGCUCUGGGGUCACAGCACAGGAAGGACAUGGACCUGCUGGAGGGAGUCCAGAGGAGGCCACAAAGGUGAUCAGAGGGAUGGAGCAGCACUCCUGUGAGGACAAGCUCAGAGAUAGGACCAUUCAUCCUGGAUAAGAGAAGGCUCUCAGGAGAUCUUACUGCAGUACACAACAGGACUUACUAGGACUGACGGUGACAGAUCCUUUAGCAGGGCCUGUAGCUACAGGACAAAGGGCAAAGGUUUUAAACCAAAAGAGCAUAUAUUCAGAUGGGUUAAGAAAGAUAUCUUUUAAGACAAGGGUGGUGAAAUACUGGAACAGGCUGCCCAGAGAUGUGGUAAAUUAGUUUUUUCAGUGCCAACUCAUAUAUCUAGGCAAAACCCACACUUAUCCUUUGGAUUCUAUGAAAUCAAUUUCAAAAUAUUCUUUGACUUCAAUAGGACAAGUUAAGAACUACACUGAUCUGAAUCUAAGCAUAUCAAUCUCUAUAGCAUGUCUUUGUCAACAGUCUUCGUGACAGAAAAUCCAAGAAAACGAGCAAGUUUCAAAAGGAAAGUUUUGUGGCCAAUGAAGCACUGCUUUAUUGGUCUCUUACAACAUGUAAGACAUUCUGAACUAAACAGUUUUCAAAGAGCUUUAGUGGAAAUCUCCAUACAUAAAGAAAGGGAGGGAGAACCAGCUCAGUUAUUGCAGAUUACAAUAUAGUACUAUUAAACAAACCAGAAAAAAAUCAAAGCUAUAAGACCACACAUGAUCUGCUUGAAUGCUUUAGAAAAUUCCUACAAACAAAAAUUGAGAAUUUUCAUCACAACUGAUUCUUGACAUAUGUGCUUCAUAAAUACUUAAGUUGUUUCCAGUAUAAGAAACUUAGGUAGUUUAUAACCCUGUCCACACUACUAACACCCAAACUUGUUUUUUUUAGUCAUCUCUACAAUUCAGAAUAACAUAAUGUACCAUCAGAGUGACUCAUGGUUGCAUAUUUGUAGUUUAAUUAUAAAAACAUUGUCUCACAGUGGAGGGACUGAAGUAAUUUAUUUUGGCUAACAUGCUUUCUGCAUUUGUCAUAUUCUUCUCAACUUAUUAAAGAUGAGUACACAUAUCAAAUCCCUCUGUCCUAGUAUGAAUAAAGUAGAGGCCUAAGAGAUGGAGUCAUUCCUCGGUGCAUGGUUUUAAAGUGUGUUAUAGGAGUGUAAGUAGAAGUGUAGUCACACUCAGUCCUUUCAGCAACUCAGGUUUUCCAAGAAUACUAUAGCACAGGACAUAACCUGCAGGAUACAACUAAGAGGAAUUUAAAUUAAAUGCAUCUCUAAUUCUUAGUCAGGCCAUACAGUGCCCCAAGUAGUUUGCAAAUUAGAUGCAGUAGAUUCAGACUAAGCAAUAUUUACUUCUCCCCAAGAGCUGAAAGAAGUCAUAGUCUCUGACUCUUAUUCAUAACUUUCCACUAAGACACUCCCAGCUGUGAUUAAAAAUAAGCCAAUAUUAAGAAACUUUUUGAUAUUCCCAGAAUGAAUUUUAGAUGCAGCAUCUCAGAGGUAAAGCAAAUAAACACAGACUGCAGUGGAGACUUUAAGAAUAUUUUCUUUCUGUGAACUUAAGCUUAUUUUAGCAAGUCACUCAUCUUCCCAGGUAGACCUAUUCUGCACCUAUAUGGACGGUGAGUCUCAGUGAAUACUGUUCUUCAAAACCAAUUAAUUUUUUUAAAGGAACAUAGGAAGCAUUUAAUAUUUCUAUAUUAAGCAUUUGAGUUUAAAUUAAUCUUACUCUAGUUCCUCUAACUGAAGUUUGCCUUUGCAUAAUUUUCCAAGUGUAGAGUAAGGGCGUAGUUCCACAAAUAUAAGUUUCAUAAGACUUUUCCUUGUUCAAUUUAUAGCUCUCUUCCCUUCUGCAUGCUCCUGGGUUUGGUGAGGAGCUGGCUGCCCAGUCAUGUUUCUGCAGUCACUGUGCUGAAAGUAGUAACUUCAUCUCUGUGUCUCUGGUCUUCAGGAACCAACUAACUUGUGCUUAUCACUGAUUGCUGACAGCUCGUUUUGUAUAAUAGAGACAUUCAAUUUUAACGACCACUUUUCUUCAAAAUUUAAAGGAUGAGAGGUAGUCUGUUUUACAAAGCAAAACACAAAAGAAAACAAAACCUCAAUUUUACAGCUUAAUGUUUUUGCUAAAAAGGUGUAAAAUAAAAUAGCUUUCACAAUAUGAUUACUCUGGGUUUGAAGUACCUAGUUGUGCAAGUUGUUGUUCCUCCUAAAUAGAAGACACAAUCACAAGAUUUCUGAUAAGAUUAACAGAAAUGAACAAGCAAUCUUUGCAAGGAUUUAUUGCUGAAUAGGUUGAUUUUUACCCUGACCAGAUGACAGCAUCCUACAAGUUGACCAUGGUCCUACCCCAUGUAAUGGGGGAGAAGCUGCCCUGCAUUUCUUCCCUUUCAAAUUACUAAAGAACACAGUAGUUGGCUCUCUUCUGUAUUCCAAAAAUUGAAUGUCUUGAAACGUUACACUGAAAUACACAAAUUAUUUUAAGAGUUUCAGAGAGAGCACAGGAUUUCAAAGGUACAAUGAUACUCCUGUGGCCUAGUGAUAUUCUCAGGUCAGCAAACAGAUCAAGCUCUUUUGAAGUACUCCAGUGAGACAGUACUUGUAACAAAAGAUAUGAUAUACUGUAAUCCCUCUGCUUUUGAGAUGUGUGAGCCAUGCACUGGAUCUGAACCAUGUGCCAACUGCUGACAGGUGGUAGUCUUGUUAAGUGUAGCAUAAAAAGAAUCCCCGUGGUCCAAAAGCUUUGGCCUUUCCAGAACCCCUUUUGGGAGAAACUGAAGUGGCAAUCAGGGAUCUGAAUAAUUUUGAAUCUUGGCAAGAGUAAGGAGCACUAUGCUUUUGUUCUACUGAUAAAGCUGAAACUUUGCAUCAGUGAUUUUUAUACUAAGUGAAAUGAAAGGGCAAAGCUAUAUUGCCUAAGACCACACUUGCUUUUCAAACUGAUAUAGCUGUUGUUUGCUACCACCUGCCUACUGACCCCUUUGACUUUCCUUGCACAUAUGGCCCUACAGAGCAAACCUCCUGGUGCCUGGAGGUAAAUCUGGGACAUUAUCUUGCACACAACUACAUCAGCAUUUUAAACAGAAAGUCAUCAACAAGUAUGAGCAAAAGUUACAUCCUGCCAACUGUAAGGGUAGUAGCUUCUGGCAGAGCAGCAGUAAAUUCUUAAGCAGUUUUAGGAAAAUGCCUGCACUUUGGAGGGGGCUGCAUAAAACAUUCCAGUUGGUGCCAUACUCCUUCUUUUUACACUAAAUGCAUACAAAAUAAAUAAAGCAACUAAUCAUGUUGUUAUAAAAUGUAGAGUAUUGUAAUUUUGAACAUUAUGGCUGUGUUUUAUGAUAAUUAUUGGUUCUUUCCAUCAGGUUGCCUAAAAUGAAUGCAGAAGGAUCAAGUAUCUGUGUCAAGAAAUUCAGUUGUAUUGUAUAGGCUGGGACCAAUAUGAACCAUAAUUACUAGCAGUACCACUUGUUUCUGAGUUGAACAUUGAUUUCAAGUAACAGGCUUCCUAUUUUCUCAGUUUCACAAUGCAUCCCAUAUUUAAAACAAAAACAAUGACAGGUACUCAAACACUAUUGCUUUCUGUAAAUUAGAUUCUACUUAAUGCUAAUUUUCCUUCAAAUACAGUAAAUAUUGAAGUGUAAUCAAAACUCAUUAAUGUAAGAAACAUUCUAGCACUUUUCUUCCACAAUCCUCUAGGUACCUAGGUAGUGGACAGAAAAGUAAUUCAAGUGACCAGAUGAGAAAACAGAUGAGAAUUCACGAUCAAAGCAAAGGAGAUCUCUCUCCCAAGGAAAGAAAGUCAGGCUGCUCUGGAAGAACAAACUCACUGGCACUCUCUGCUCCCAGAAGAAUAGUGGGUGGCACAGGAAGAAGAGAGACAUUAGAGAAACACCGAGAGACAGUUAAGAGAUCACAAAAAAAACAUGAGGAAGGGAAAGACUAAAAAAAAUAUAAGAAUGAGAAACAAAAACAGAGAGAAAGACUUAUCAAAAUGUAAAUCAAGUGAAGAAAAUUGUCAAAUGACAAUUUAAAAGAAGUAUAAAUUUUGAAUCAAGGCAAGAACAAGAACAAGGCAAAAAGAAUGUCAAGGCCAUGAAACAAAGGAAAUUUUGAAGGAGGAAAUACAUUACUAACAUCUAAUCUUUUUCCAUUUUUUAAAAAGUGUUUUGAAUUGAGAUGCUACAAGCAAAAUAAGCCUCUUGGGUCAGGCUGCUGUCAUUAUUCCUUGCACAAGUGUGUCCAAGAGCUUUACAAAUAAUUUUGUAAACACAAUGCAGCAGAAGAGAGGAAGUAUGUUUAUGUCUCUAAUGAAAUAUGCAACUAUCAUUAAGUGCUCUGUGUAAUACAA